GUGGGGAAUCUUAGACAAUGGGCGCAAGCCUGAUCUAGCCAUGCCGCGUGAUCGAUGAAGGCCUUAGGGUUGUAAAGAUCUUUCAGUGGGGAAGAUAAUGACUGUACCCACAGAAGAAGCCCCGGCUAACUCCGUGCCAGCAGCCGCGGUAAUACGGAGGGGGCUAGCGUUGUUCGGAAUUACUGGGCGUAAAGCGCACGUAGGCGGAACAGAAAGUCAGAGGUGAAAUCCCAGGGCUCAACCUUGGAACUGCCUUUGAAACUCCUGUUCUUGAGUUCGAGAGAGGUGAGUGGAAUUCCGAGUGUAGAGGUGAAAUUCGUAGAUAUUCGGAGGAACACCAGUGGCGAAGGCGGCUCACUGGUCCAUUACUGACGCUGAGGUGCGAAAGCGUGGGGAGCAAACAGGAUUAGAAACCCCAGUAGUCC
rnacentral:rRNA from 1 species